rnacentral:rRNA from 1 species
UGCAAGUCGAGGGGUAACAUAGGAAAGCUUGCUUUUCUGAUGACGACCGGCGCACGGGUGCGUAACGCGUAUACAACCUACCUUUUAGCGGGGAAUAGCCCAGGGAAACUUGGAUUAAUGCCCCAUAGUAUNNAAAGCUCUCUCCUGAANUUUAUAUUAAACAUUUAUGGCUAUUAGAUGGGUAUGCGUCCUAUUAGUUAGUUGGUAAGGUAACGGCUUACCAAGGCAGCGAUAGGUAGGGGUCCUGAGAGGGAGAUCCCCCACACUGGUACUGAGACACGGACCAGACUCCUACGGGAGGCAGCAGUGAGGAAUAUUGGACAAUGGGCGAGAGCCUGAUCCAGCCAUGCCGCGUGCAGGAAGACUGCCCUAUGGGUUGUAAACUGCUUUUACAGAGGAAGAACCACCCCCACGUGUGGGGGUUUGACGGUACUCUGCGAAUAAGGAUCGGCUAACUCCGUGCCAGCAGCCGCGGUAAUACGGAGGAUCCAAGCGUUAUCCGGAAUCAUUGGGUUUAAAGGGUCCGUAGGCGGGCAGUUAAGUCAGUGGUGAAAGUCUUCCGCUCAACGGGAGAACUGCCAUUGAUACUGAUUGUCUUGAGUUAUUAUGAAGUGGUUAGAAUGAGUAGUGUAGCGGUGAAAUGCAUAGAUAUUACUCAGAAUACCGAUUGCGAAGGCAGAUCACUAAUAAUAUACUGACGCUGAUGGACGAAAGCGUAGGUAGCGAACAGGAUUAGAUACCCUGGUAGUCUACGCCGUAAACGAUGGUUACUAGCUGUUCGGCCCAAUUGAGGGCUGAGUGGUUAAGCGAAAGUGAUAAGUAACCCACCUGGGGAGUACGUUCGCAAGAAUGAAACUCAAAGGAAUUGACGGGGGCCCGCACAAGCGGUGGAGCAUGUGGUUUAAUUCGAUGAUACGCGAGGAACCUUACCAGGGCUUAAAUGUAGUCUGACAGGUCUGGAAACAGACUUUUCUUCGGACAGAUUACAAGGUGCUGCAUGGUUGUCGUCAGCUCGUGCCGUGAGGUGUCAGGUUAAGUCCUAUAACGAGCGCAACCCCUGUGGUUAGUUGCCAGCGAGUAAUGUCGGGAACUCUAGCCAGACUGCCGGUGCAAACCGCGAGGAAGGUGGGGAUGACGUCAAAUCAUCACGGCCCUUACGUCCUGGGCCACACACGUGCUACAAUGGUAGGGACAGAGAGCAGCCACUUCGCGAGAAGGAGCGAAUCUACAAACCCUAUCACAGUUCGGAUCGCAGUCUGCAACUCGACUGCGUGAAGCUGGAAUCGCUAGUAAUCGCAUAUCAGCCAUGAUGCGGUGAAUACGUUCCCGGGCCUUGUACACACCGCCCGUCAAGCCAUGGAAGCCGGGGGUACCUGAAGUCGGUCACCGCAAGGAGCCGCCUAGGU